UCAAACCCCUUUCGGUUGCCUCGGUCUGCCACCCAACAGCUGGAGACUCAACAACACUCCAUUUCUUAUGUCUCUCCAAACUGCUAUUAUAGGCCUUGGGAUUAACAGGCACCGGGACGGUGGCCUUUUAAAGUAGGGGGAAUAUGUGACGGGUGGAAGGGGUUGCCCUUAGCAGGUGUACAGCCCGUCACCUGAUUGUGCCUGGUGCACGUGACGUGACGUUACACGGUAGCUCACAGUGACCCGCACUUCCUAUUUGUUUUAAAUGCCAUUCACGCGGCAAACGCAGCAUGUUUGGUUUGGCUCUGUCGGCGGUGAAUAUUAAGCACAAUACGGAUCUGCUUGUUCGUUGGAAUAUAACGCCAGUAGGAUUGUGAAGUGUUGCCUCUAACAGACGAACAGUUUUCACACCUACAACGCAUUUGGAACACUGGCGUCUUAACAUCGCAUGCGGGACUUUAUGAGGUAUUUGGGAUACAUUUUAAAAGAACCAGUCUUUAUAUUAAAUGGCUCAAUGUUUACUGUAUAUAAUGAAUUGUUUUUAAUGAAUUGUGAAUUGAAUGUGUACUGUGUACAAUGAAUUGUGAAAUGGCUACAAUGAAUUGUGAUUUGAAUAUUUACUGUGUAUAAUGAUUAUAGCUCUUUGUCCUUUGGUUCUAGGAACACUGUAUAUCACUGUUUUUCCCAUAGCUAAUUUAUGAUGAGACAAGCACUUGAAUUGAGCUACUAGCCUGCAUAGUGUUGCUGUAAAACCACCUUCCGUUUACUUGGUUGUUGUCUUGGCGAGUUUUAUUUUCUUUCUGUUUUAUUCCUUUGGGUCAGUCGUAGCUGGGGCUAUCAUAGAGGGGAGUCCUUAUCCGCUUGCAACUUGUGUGUGCUGUGCAACGCCCGCUACUAGGGGCCGUAGUGGGAAGUGUGUGAUUUGUGGUGUAGUGGAUAGCCAUUGUGACUUGCCGUUGGUGUGGUGUGUAGUGGUCUAGUAUCAAGAUUGGCUACUUGAUACAAACCCUUUAGUUAGUCUUACCUCUAGGGUGGGCUUUAGCCGCGACUGACCUACUCUUACCCUCGCCCUUAAAUGUCUGCCCUGAACAGGGCUGUACUUCUUUCCUUUUAUGAUUUGGAUUAUCAGUGAAUACCAUACCGUCAUUAUCAAUUAUAGGCAUUUGUCUAGUCUCAUUUACACUGUCUGCCUUGUGUACAUAAACCAUCACUUACUUAUUAAAGAUAUAUUUAUUGUG